AGAAGCACCCCUCCCCCCGUCACCUGCACAGUGAACCGGCCUGCGCCCCCACGUCUUCUGUUGUGCCGGCCCGACGUCACUCCACAGAGCCGCGCAGGAGGACGUGAUGUCACUCGCAGAGCGCCGGAGAGAAGGAGCGCUGCGCUGGAUGGAGGAUGAGAAUGCGCUGACAUAGAGAGGAGACGUCUGGGUGUCACAUUCUACAGAGAGAAGUUUUAGCUGGACCCGGCGGGUGUUUCCCCACCUGGCGGCAAUUAACUUCUAUGGCCAGGCUCCACAGGAACUGACAUCCGACGCCGAUGUCUGUGGGAGCCACUCUUCCAUACUCAGGUACAUAUGUAUAAAAACCUU